UAGGGAAUCUUCGGCAAUGGACGAAAGUCUGACCGAGCAACGCCGCGUGAGUGAAGAAGGUUUUCGGAUCGUAAAACUCUGUUGUUAGAGAAGAACAAGGACGUUAGUAACUGAACGUCCCCUGACGGUAUCUAACCAGAAAGCCACGGCUAACUACGUGCCAGCAGCCGCGGUAAUACGUAGGUGGCAAGCGUUGUCCGGAUUUAUUGGGCGUAAAGCGAGCGCAGGCGGUUUCUUAAGUCUGAUGUGAAAGCCCCCGGCUCAACCGGGGAGGGUCAUUGGAAACUGGGAGACUUGAGUGCAGAAGAGGAGAGUGGAAUUCCAUGUGUAGCGGUGAAAUGCGUAGAUAGAUGGAGGAAAACCAGUGGCGAAGGCGGCUCUCUGGUCAGUAACUGACGCUGAGGAUAGAAAGCGUGGGGAGCAAACAGG
rnacentral:rRNA from 1 species